GUGUACAAAUUUAUCUGAUGGAAGCGAACCAAAUCGGGUGCAUUUACACGUGUACGCUUCACACGUCAUAUCCUACGUUACGAACCACGCGAAUUUCAAUUAUACUUUACUGAAUGCAUUUCGCCCUUGCUAGUAAUAGCAGCGUUUAAAAGUUCGACGAUGAGGUCAGAAAAUGAAAGUGAAUCGAGAGAGAGAAGGUGCAUUAUCUGCGAUAGCUAAUUGCUGAGAAAUUGUGAUUAUCGACGGCUAGCGCGAAUUCGCCAGAAUAAUCGAUGAUGUAUAAGGAAGGUGGUAUCCCGAUCUGUCUAAAAUAGAAUCACGAACGCGAAUACGACGAGAUCGAAACCUUGGCCCCAUAGAGCAAAGCUUACGUCUGUUUCGUUGAUAAAAUGAUUAAUUAAGCACCGCGUGAACUAAAUAUCUCCUGCUAUUCAAGCAUCGAGAUCUUAACGAGCAAUCACCUUGGAAACACAUUUGACCAACGAUGCUACAUUGUGUGUGAAGGAUGUUAAUUACAGUAAAAAAGAUGCGCGAAAAGAAAGUACCUAUAUGUAAUAUUUCGUUACUAAGUGUUACUAAUUAAGCUGAGAAUCGACCUUCGUAACCACACGGGAAGGAGGAUCGAGCUCGAGCGAGGAGUGCUUCGCGACCUUAGACAAUGCGACCUGCACACGAAAUAUCCACGAACCGUGACCACUUCUGCGAGCUAAACGCAAGAGAAACGAAGAAGGUAAGAAAGUCACGAGCCGACAGAGAGGAAAGUAUCCUCUCGUAUUAUUACACCGGAUAAACGUCAAUGCCGUUUAGAACCAGUUGUAACGUUUCUACUCGAGAUUCCUGUGUCGAUCUCGAGCUGAACAUUUCCAUGGCGGUCUGUUAAAAGCACUUCGCUCUAAUUGCAUACCGGAAUCUUUGACUCAAAUGUACGCGUAAAAUACACAAGUUAAUACAUAAA